rnacentral:rRNA from 1 species
UGAGUACGAGCUGCUACGGCAGCGAAGUGGGUGAUGUCAAGCUUCCAAGAAAAGCCCUAUACCCGUUAAGGCAUGAUGGCCUGUACCCGAAACCGACACAGGUGGGGUGGUAGAGAAUACCGAGGGGCGCGAGAUAACUCUCUCUAAGGAACUCGGCAAAAUGGCCCCGUAACUUCGGGAGAAGGGGUGCCACCGCAAGGUGGUCGCAGUGAAGAGGCCCAGGCGACUGUUUACCAAAAACACAGGUCUCCGCUAAGUCGCAAGACGAUGUAUGGGGGCUGACGCCUGCCCAGUGCCGGAAGGUUAAGGAAGCUGGUCAGCGUAAGCGAAGCUAGCGACUGAAGCCCCGGUGAACGGCGGCCGUAACAAUAACGGUCCUAAGGUAGCGAAAUUCCUUGUCGGGUAAGUUCCGACCCGCACGAAAGGCGUAACGAUCUGGGCGCUGUCUCGGAGAGAGGCUCGGCGAAAUAGAAUUGUCUGUGAAGAUGCGGACUACGUGCACCCGGACAGAAAGACCCUAUGAAGCUUUACUGUAGCUUGGUAUUGUGCUCGGGCUCGGAAUGCGCAGGAUAGGUGGGAGGCUAUGAACCAUUGCUUGUGGGUGAUGGUGAGCCACUGGUGAGAUACCACUCUUUCCGAGCUAGAGUUCUAACAGCCACCCGUUAUCCGGGGGCUGGACAGUAUCAGGUGGGCAGUUUGACUGGGGCGGUCGCCUCCUAAAAGGUAACGGAGGCGCGCAAAGGUUUGCUCAGGCUGGUUGGAAAUCAGCCGACGAGUGUAAAAGCAGAAGCAAGCUUGACUGUGAGACCUACAAGUCGAACAGGGAGGAAACUCGGCUUUAGUGAUCCGACGUUCUGCGUGGAAGGGCCGUCGCUCAACGGAUAAAAGUUACUCUAAGGAUAACAGGCUGAUCUCCCCCAAGAGUUCACAUCGACGGGGAGGUUUGGCACCUCGAUGUCGGCUCAUCGCAACCUGGGGCUGAAGUCGGUCCCAAGGGUUGGGCUGUUCGCCCAUUAAAGCGGUACGCGAGCUGGGUUCAGAACGUCGUGAGACAGUUCGGUCCAUAUCCGGUGCAUGCGCAGGAAUAUUGAGAGGAUUUCUCCCUAGUACGAGAGGACCGGGAGGAACGCACCUCUGGUGUACCAGUUAUCGUGCCAACGGUAAACGCUGGGUAGCCAUGUGCGGAGAGGAUAACCGCUGAAAGCAUCUAAGUGGGAAGCCCACCUCAAGAUGAGUAUUCCCAUGGGGUAACCCAGUAAGGUCACGGGAAGAACACCCGUUGAUAGGCUCUACGUGGAAGCGCAGUAAUGUGUGAAGCGGAGGAGUACUAAUAGACCGAGGGCUUGACU